AAGUCGUAACAAGGUCUCCGUAGGUGAACCUGCGGAGGGAUCAUUACAGAGUGUAACAACUCCUAAACCACCUGUAGACAUACCUAUUUUGUUGCUUUGGCAGGCGGUCCCAGGGCGGGACCGUUGGCCGGCCUGUCCGGUGCCUGCCGAAGAAACGUAACACUCGUUGUCUCACUGUACUCUGAGUCUUUAUACAAAUCAGUCAAAACCUUCAACAACGGAUCUCUUGGUUCUG
rnacentral:misc_RNA from 1 species